rnacentral:rRNA from 1 species
CAAUAGAUACCCGGGUAGUCCUGGCCCUAAACGAUGUCCACUAGAUUGCGGCGGGUUUGGACCCCGUCGGCGGUCGAAGCAAAAGUGUUAAGUGGACCGCCUGGGAAGUACGGGUCGCAAGGCUAAAACUCAAAGGAAUUGACGGGGGGCUCACACAAGCGGUGGAGCAUGUGGUUCAAUUCGAAGCAACGCGCAGAACCUUACCUGGGUUUGACAUGCUUGGAUUAUCCCGGUGAAAGCCGGGUAGGCCCCGCAAGGGGUACAACAAGUACAGGUGCUGCAUGGCUGUCGUCAGCUCGUGUCGUGAGAUGUUGGGUUAAGUCCCGCAACGAGCGCAACCCCCGUCCUAUGUUGCCAGCAUUAAGUUGGGGACUCAUAGGAGACUGCCGGUGACAAACCGGAGGAAGGUGGGGAUGACGUCAAGUCAUCAUGCCCCUUAUGUCCAGGGCUACACACGUGCUACAUUGGCCGAUACAGAGGGUUGCGAUACCGCGAGGUGGAGCGAAUCCCAAAAAGUCGGUCUCGGUUCGGAUUGGAGGCUGAAACUCGCCUCC